rnacentral:lncRNA from 1 species
AGAAAGAAUCAAAGAAGCGCGAAAUCUUUAUCAAGAAAGCUAUCUAUAAGUGGCGGGAAAGGAAAUAGUAUUGGGUUGGGCGGUGAAAGUGCCUGUAGCAAAGCAGUCUGCCUAAUCAGAGUAAGAGAUAAAAGAAGCUGUACGAGCGAGUGUUGCAUCUCGGUUAAGGGCAGCAAGCAGUUAUGAAAGGUUCGUUUUUGUUCGGGCGCGGUACAAGACGUUGUGUUGUUUGCAGGUUAAUUACUUAUAUAUAUAUAUAUGGUGCAUUCCUUUGUUAUAUUGUUAUAUAUAUAUGGUGCAUUCCUUUGUUAUAUUGUUAUGGAGCAUGCAGUGAAUGAAUCAAUUGUAGUUUGAGUGUUGAGCAAGAAGGAUUCAAUUCAAGUUUUACUUCAGACAGGACAGAUCCAACAGAAGAUGCUUUUUGAACAAUUGCCUAGCCCGACGAACAUCCUGACUGCUUUCAUACUAAAACCCGUGCUGCUCCGUUAACACUUGUUCUUUUGUCGUUGCUUUGUUUGCUUUAAGAACUCUUAUGGGCACACUGUUCUAGAAGAGAAGAGAGAUGAUUUCCUGCGCUCGGUACCUAGGUAUGAUAGACUUAAGCAAUAGGCACAUCCACUAAUAAAAGAGAGUAAACAAAGAUCUCAGGGAGUGAGGGCGAUGCGGUGCAAGCAAUUGUCUAUGUUAAGGUAGUUCGGGAUUGAUGAAGAGGUUAAGCAGUUUUGUAUGAAAGGUGUGAGCGAAAAGUCCGGGUAUCGAGUCAGGGCAAAGUGAAUGACUUGAAUCGUGCGGUUGAAAGGUGUGGUUAAGUAUCAAGUUAGCGGGAAAUACAGAAAGUCCGGGUAGGUAGCCAAGAUAACAAGUAGAUCUAGUAGCUCGUAGCUCUGCAUCGGUGUUUGUUUAUUCAUUUCUAUCAUGAAACAACUCGGGGUGCUAAGGGUUGUUUUUGUUUAUAGAACUAUAGCAAGGGAACAAGCUUAGUAGAUUGAGCUCCGUUAGCCGAUGAAGACAGGACGGACUUGCUCUUGACUGAUAAUAACUCCGUAAGCUAUAUAAAAGCGAUAAAAAGCAAGCCGGAGCUAUUGAGUUCGCUAAGCUAAGAGAAAAGAGGUUGGCCCUGGAGAGUAUUUUGAGUGUUGUUACUUUCUCUGGAGAGUAUUUCUAUAGUUAUUACUAUUGCUUGUUCUGUCGUUAUUAUUUGUAAUCACUUAUAUAACGUUAAUUAUGACAACUAUUGCUUGUGUCCGUCUAUAGCUUGUUUGCGUCUGUUAUGAGUCUCGAGUCUCUUCUUUAUGUUCGACUUGAAUCUGUUUGUCGUGGAGAAUUGACUGAUUCCUCCCUAAUAGGUGAGAGGAAAGUUAACUCGAUAAUCAGCUGUUUGAAGAAAGUCUAUAAUUAGAGUAAACUGAUAGAGCAAAGCGAGCUUAGAGGUGCUGCUCCCGACGAAGAAAGGUGAAAGUACAAGGAACCUGCAAUCGAUUCUUCAAGAUAUAAGCAAUGCCAGAAAGGGAAGCUGUAAAGUCAGAAGUAGAGGCCAGAGUGUUGAGUAAGCCCUAAGUGUUGAGUAAGCCCUAAGUCAGUAGUUAGUAGGAAGCCUACCGAUUCUCCGCUGCUAGUAUAAGAUAUAGUACUAUUGGUUUCAUUCCUCUGUUACUAGGCUAGGAAGUCUGUUACUAGGCCUGCAUCUAGACUAGUGGAAUUCUGGAAUCGAAUGGGAUGAAUAAAUUGGAUCAAAUAUGAAAUAAUCCAGAAAAGUCGACAUCAUUUUCCAGUACAUACUCACUACACAAACAGUAGCAAAAAACAUAGGAUAACU